GACCCUUCGGGGAGCUUGUACAGGUGCUGCAUGGCUGUCGUCAGCUCGUGUCGUGAGAUGUUCGGUUAAGUCCGCUAACGAGCGCAACCCUCGCUGUGUGUUACAAGUGUCACACGGAACUGCCGGUCAUAAACCGGAGGAAGGUGGGGAUGACGUCAAGUCAGCAUGGCCUUUAUAUCCUGGGCUACACACACGCUACAAUGGGAAGGGACAAUAGGUUGCGAAGCCGCGAGGCGGAGCCAAUCCAGCAAAACUUCCCUCAGUUCAGAUUGCAGGCUGCAACCCGCCUGCAUGAAGUUGGAGUUGCUAGUAAACGCAGGUCAGCCAUACUGCGUUGAAUACGUUCCCGGGGCUU
rnacentral:rRNA from 1 species